rnacentral:rRNA from 1 species
GGCGGACGGGUGAGUAACGCGUAGGAAUCUGUCCGGUAGUGGGGGAUAACGUUCCGAAAGGAACGCUAAUACCGCAUACGCCCCAAGGGGGAAAGAGGGGGAUCCUUCGGGACCUCUCGCUAUCGGAGGAGCCUGCGUCGGAUUAGCUAGUUGGUAGGGUAAAGGCCUACCAAGGCGACGAUCCGUAGCUGGUCUGAGAGGAUGAUCAGCCACACCGGAACUGAGACACGGUCCGGACUCCUACGGGAGGCAGCAGUGGGGAAUAUUGCGCAAUGGGGGCAACCCUGACGCAGCCAUGCCGCGUGUGUGAAGAAGGCCUUCGGGUUGUAAAGCACUUUCAGAGGGGAGGAAAGGGUGCCGGCUAAUAUCCGGUGCAGUUGACGCUACCCUUA